GACGAACGCUGGCGGCGUGCUUAACACAUGCAAGUCGAACGGAAAGGCCCUGCUUUUGUGGGGUGCUCGAGUGGCGAACGGGUGAGUAACACGUGAGUAACCUGCCCUUGACUUUGGGAUAACUUCAGGAAACUGGGGCUAAUACCGGAUAGGAGCUCCUGCUGCAUGGUGGGGGUUGGAAAGUUUCGGCGGUUGGGGAUGGACUCGCGGCUUAUCAGCUUGUUGGUGGGGUAGUGGCUUACCAAGGCUUUGACGGGUAGCCGGCCUGAGAGGGUGACCGGCCACAUUGGGACUGAGAUACGGAGCAGACUCCUACGGGAGGCAGAAGUGGGGAAUAUUGCACAAUGGGCGGAAGCCUGAUGCAGCAACGCCGCGUGCGGGAUGACGGCCUUCGGGUUGUAAACCGCUUUCGCCUGUGACGAAGCGUGAGUGACGGUAAUGGGUAAAGAAGCACCGGCUAACUACGUG
rnacentral:rRNA from 1 species